ACAGAAGCUGUGGAAGGCGCCAUCCUGCCUGCCACAGGAAGGGCCUUGGACUGAGAGGACCGGAGCUGACUGGGGAAAUGCAGGGCAUUAAAAGAGGAGCAAACCAAAUCUAGCCUGUUUUUCAUACUCACGGAUCCAGUGGGAAAGCUGCAUUCUGAAUUGGCCACAGCAGCUAGAGAUGCCUGGAGAUUUCAUCACUGUUGGGAAGACGAGUGCAGGAAGAUGACAGCACACAGAAAUUUCGUAUUAUUCAAAGCCAAAAGCCAACAGAGCCCCCAUGGAGAAGUGGAGGAUGCUCAGAUACUGCUAUGGAGCCCUGAGAAGUGAAAUGGGUCCAAGCCCUUGCCCAGGAUAGAGCGCUCCAAGCGCAUCCUCCGGGGACCCUUUUAAUCAGUGAAUUGUUCACCUCUCACUGUUUCUUCCCAGCAGAGCUAAGAGACUUCUAGAGCCUCUUGUGGAUGGUCAGCGAUAGCCCUGGUAUGACCAGGAGGUGGCGAUUUCUGUUCUAGGUCCCUCAGCAAAGACUAAGCAGGACAAGCCUGGCUACUGUGUUAGGAGGAGCUGUAGGGAAAGGGAAGGACAAGAUGGGCCACCACAUGCCUGUGUCCACUGCUGGCCACACCCAGAGUGCUAGGGGUUUGUGGCAGUGACUGGGGCCACCUAGAGCAGUUCUAGGGUUCGUAGUCAUUCUCUCUGAGUCAUGGAAAACUGCCCAGGAGGCGAGUCCCACCUAAGAGAGUAUGUGUAGCACUGGCACGGCCUGCUGCCUUGCAAAUGACCACAUUUCAUGAAAGAAAGCCAGGGCCACAGACAGGAACCAAAGGAAAUCAGUCACUUAGGGGAAGAUAACGAAUCCACAAAGUGAAAAAGGGAAAGAAAAAAAGAGGCAACUUCAACACUCCAACCCAUGGGAGCAGAACGACUUUCAGCUUUCGCAGGGGGAUAAUCACUGCAAGUCCAGCUUGAAGAGGGUGAUUUCAGGAUCUACAUGAGAAUAAGGCGCAAUUUUUUUUUUUUUUUUCUGAAAAAUACGGAAGGGUUCAUUUACAGCUGUUAAAGAUGGGCCGGUUUUAGGGCUAAAGCAAGACUCUGGUCAGAUGUUAACAACUCAGUUAUCCUGGGGAAAAAAUAACUGGCUCCCAACCCUUUCCCUUUUCAGCAUUUGCAGGAAAAGAAGGAGUAGGUAAAAUGCUUUAUUUCCUCUCAUUCUCCAUGGUGGGCAGGAGUUCACAUAACAAUUAUAAACCAUCUUUAACAGGAAAGCCAAGUAAAUCCUGUAGGGAUUUAUUUGGAGCUCCCUUUUUGCUAGAAAAUGAGUAUCAUGAACUAAAAAUGGACUCGUUUCCUCUCUCUCCAUCUUCCUCUCUUUCUUCUCUCCCCUCAUCUCCCACCCACCGCCAUGGUGGAAAAUGACUGUGGUCAAGAAGAUUGAACAUUUGAGCAAGACCAGAUGCCUUUAUAUCCAAUAGAUGCCACGGAGAGUAGAUCACAACACAUCUAACUGCUGUAUCCCCAUAUAAAAUAAUUUUAAUUUUCCUA
rnacentral:lncRNA from 1 species